AGAGUUUGAUCCUGGCUCAGAUUGAACGCUGGCGGCAUGCCUUACACAUGCAAGUCGAACGGUAACAGGUCUUCGGAUGCUGACGAGUGGCGAACGGGUGAGUAAUACAUCGGAACGUGCCCGAUCGUGGGGGAUAACGCAGCGAAAGCUGUGCUAAUACCGCAUACGAUCUACGGAUGAAAGCGGGGGAUCGCAAGACCUCGCGCGGACGGAGCGGCCGAUGGCAGAUUAGGUAGUUGGUGGGAUAAAAGCUUACCAAGCCGACGAUCUGUAGCUGGUCUGAGAGGACGACCAGCCACACUGGGACUGAGACACGGCCCAGACUCCUACGGGAGGCAGCAGUGGGGAAUUUUGGACAAUGGGGGAAACCCUGAUCCAGCCAUGCCGCGUGCAGGAUGAAGGCCUUCGGGUUGUAAACUGCUUUUGUACGGAACGAAAAGGUCUUUUCUAAUAAAGAAGGCUCAUGACGGUACCGUAAGAAUAAGCACCGGCUAACUACGUGC
rnacentral:rRNA from 1 species